UCGGGAAUCUUCCGCUUUGGACGAAAGACUCACGUCGCCGCGCCGCUUGAGAUUCGACUUUCUUCUCCUUGUAAAGCUCUGUUAAUCUUCCAUCCAGGCCUUCUUGCGAAUAGUUAACUUUUUUGACGGACCGAGAAUCCGCGCGCCCGCGAAUUACGUGCCAUCAGUCGCGAUAAUGCUUGCGUGGCAAGCGUUGUCCGGAAUUAUGGGGCGUAAAGCGCCCGGGGUUUGUAUGCUGGGUCCGUCUAUCCAGCUCGCUGUUCAACCGAGUGAUGUUCUGCCAACUGCAAAUAUCUAUACUACCAGAAGGCCGUGGAAUUUCNAGCGGAGCUGUUCCAUGCGACUUUCUUCCAAAGAACACCAUUCGCGAAUGCUACNUUCUGGACGAAGACUGAAUUCGAGGCGCGAAAGCUCNAUUAGCNANCGGGAGUGUNUAANNANANUNGACUGGCGNNNUUUUACANNNCUAGGACNNGGNAAAGACNNCNACCCCCUUCCUGUGCCGGAGUUAACGCAAUAAGUACCCCGCCUGGGGAGUACGACCGCNAGUUG
rnacentral:rRNA from 1 species